rnacentral:pre_miRNA from 1 species
GAGUUUUUGAUGUCGCAGAUACUGCAUCAGGAACUGAUUGGAUAAUCAUCAGUCACCAUCAGUUCCUAAUGCAUUGCCUUCAGCAUCUAAACA